AGUCGUACGGACGUAGCAAUACGUCAGUGGCGGACGGGUGAGUAAUGUAUCGCUAAUGUACCCUUCACUCUGGGAUAGCUGCGGGAAACUGCAGGUAAUACCAGAUGACAUAUUCCGAUCGCAUGGUUGGAAUCUCAAAGGAGCAAUACGGUGAGGGAGCAGGCGAUAUCGUAUCAGCUAGUUGGUGAGGUAACGGCUCACCAAGGCGACGACGCGUAGCUGGUCUGAGAGGACGACCAGCCACAUUGGGACUGAGACACUGCCCAGACUCCUACGGGGGGCUGCAGUAACGAAUCUUCCGCAAUGCACGCAAGUGUGACGGAGCGACGCCGCGUGGAGGUUAAGUCCUUCGGGAUGUAAACUCCUGUCAGGGGUUACCAAGAUCUGAGGAGCCCCAGAGGAAGGCACGGCUAACUCUGUGCCAGCAGCCGCGGUAAUACAGAGGUGCCAAGCGUUAGGCGGGAUCACUGGGCUUAAAGCGCGUGUAGGUGGACGGGUAAGUACCUUGUGAAAUCCCACGGCUCAACCGUGGAACUGCUGGGUAUACUGCUUGUCUUGAGGCACUCAGGGGCAGCUGGAACAAAUGGUGGAGCGGUGAAAUGCGUAGAUAUCAUUUGGAACGCCAAAGGCGAAAGCAGGCUGCUGGGAGUGAUCUGACACUGAGACGCGAAAGCCAGGGGAGCAAACGGGAUUAGAUACCCCGGUAGUCCUGGCCCUAAGCGAUGUCCACUAGAUGGUGGCGGCUCUGACGCCGUCAUGGUCGAAGCAAAAGUGUUAAGUGGACCGCCCGGGGAAGUACGGUCGCAAGGCUAAAACUCAAAGGAAUU
rnacentral:rRNA from 1 species